rnacentral:rRNA from 1 species
ACUUAAGCAUAUCAAUAAGCGGAGGAAAAGAAACUAACAAGGAUUCCCCUAGUAACUGCGAGUGAAGCGGGAAAAGCUCAAAUUUAAAAUCUGGCAGUCUUUGAUUGUCCGAGUUGUAAUCUGGAGAAGCGUUUUCCGUGUCGGACCGUGUACAAGUCUUCUGGAAUGAAGCGUCAUAGAGGGUGAGAAUCCCGUCUCUGACAUGGACUACCGAUGCUUUUGUGAUACGCUCUCAAAGAGUCGAGUUGUUUGGGAAUGCAGCUCAAAAUGGGUGGUAAAUUCCAUCUAAAGCUAAAUAUAGGCGAGAGACCGAUAGCGAACAAGUACCGUGAGGGAAAGAUGAAAAGCACUUUGGAAAGAGAGUUAAACAGUACGUGAAAUUGUUGAAAGGGAAACGCUUGAAGUCAGUCGCGUCGGCCGAGACUCAACCUGGCAUUUGUGCUUGGCGUACUUCUCGGUUGACGGGUCAACAUCAGUUUUGACCGUUAGAAAAAGGUGGGAGGAAUGUGGCAUCCUUCGGGGUGUGUUAUAGCCUUCCACUAUGUGACGGUCGGGACUGAGGAAUUCAGCACGCCUUUUGGCCGGGGUUCGCCCACGUCCGUGCUUAGGAUGUUGACAUAAUGGCUUUAAGCGACCCGUCUUGAAACACGGACCAAGGAGUCUAACAUGCCUGCGAGUGUUUGGGUGAAAAACCCGAGCGCGUAAUGAAAGUGAAAAUUGAGAUCUCUGUCAUGGAGAGCAUCAAUGCCCGGACCAGACCUUUUGUGACGGAUCUGCGGUUGAGCAUGUAUGUUGGGACCCGAAAGAUGGUGAACUAUGCCUGAAUAGGGUGAAGCCAGAGGAAACUCUGGUGGAGGCUCGUAGCGAUUCUGACGUGCAAAUCGAUCGUCGAA